GCCAAAAACACGGUGUGUUACACUUUACUGCUAACAGCUAACAGCACACCAUCGAGUUUACAAACAUCUUCUCAGUAAUCGUUCAGGAACAUUUGUGAUGGCUCUUUGAAGUGCUUUGUACACACAGACGCUCAUAAAGACCGAAAUUUACCGAGGCUGAAACGUUUAAGAGAGCGUGCCAGGGUGAUGCAUGACGAAGACCUGCUCUGUCGCCAUGACGACCAGCCACCACCACCACCACCACCACCACCAGCAUCCACCCUUCCAGAGCAGCACACCAGAAAGUUAUGGGUCAACUUGAAGAAAAUGGUCCACCGUUGUCGUUUUCCCGGUUCACGCUUGACCUGCUUCCUGUCGGUGAACUUUCCGGAAGCGGAGCAGGACGGCAACAACAGUGUCCGUGCGAGGGAGGGGUCCCGUCCCUCACGUGUGUGCUGAGGUGGCCCUGACAAGAUGGAUGUUAUGAUGAUCCAAAGCGCUGCCCCGCUGCCUCUGGAGGAGCCAAGACACGCUUGUCUCGCACCCUCAGGUCUACUCGCUUACAUACACACACUCUGUCACCGUGAGAGCCCUCUAGAACCUUCCACCAAUGGCCUGCUGGCUUGUAAACACCCAAUGGCCACUUCAUUAGGCACACCCGCACCAUACCAACAUAAGAGCUGCAUGCCAUCGUUCUGCCUAAUGAUGUUAAUUACUUGUUAGUUUGUUUGGUAAUGUGCAUGAUGCUAAUGAAACUGCUACUAAUGUUUACAACCUUGCUCAAAUAAACCACGCCCCUAGCCACAAAACUGUCCUGUGAUUGGCCGGCAGAUGGACCUCAAUAAAAGUAUACAAAAUAUCAAUUAAUAAAAAAAAUGAAGGCAGAAGUAAGUUAAGAAAUAUAAACACAAUAAAAAUUGGCCAAACCAAAAAAAAAAAUACAAAAGUUAUAAAAAUAAUGGAUUGAGUGUAGAAAUAAAUACAUACAACUUUAAGAUGACUAAAAUAACUUUGU